rnacentral:lncRNA from 1 species
CAAGGUAGGUUCGGCCAUUGAUGGGUGGUGGGGAAAAUAAAUUUUUUUCUUAUUGUUUUGUUUCUAGACAUGGUAAACUAACUAAAAACACUAACAUAACUUAGAAUCAAACCGAUCCAACAUCAUUCUCUCUCUAUACCCAUUCCUACCAGCCAUGAAUUCAUCAUGAAAAUAUGUAAUUUAACUAUGAAAAAUAAGGAGAAAUGCAUGGGAAAGGUAGAUCACAAGUCAAAAUCAAGAAAUUUUACCUUUUGUCACUUGUUUCCUUGAAUUUCCCACACUUUUCUCUUGAAAUUCUUCACCUAGGGUUUGUUUUUUCUUUUCUCCCUUUGUUCUUCUUGUUCUUGGUUUGGCCGGC